rnacentral:rRNA from 1 species
UCCAGACUCCUACGGGAGGCAGCAGUGGGGAAUAUUGGGCAAUGGGCGCAAGCCUGACCCAGCAACGCCGCGUGAAGGAAGAAGGCUUUCGGGUUGUAAACUUCUUUUAAGAGGGAAGAGAAGAAGACGGUACCUCUUGAAUAAGCCACGGCUAACUACGUGCCAGCAGCCGCGGUAAUACGUAGGUGGCAAGCGUUGUCCGGAUUUACUGGGUGUAAAGGGCGUGCAGCCGGGAAGACAAGUCAGAUGUGAAAUCCCGCGGCUCAACCGCGGAACUGCAUUUGAAACUGUUUUUCUUGAGUACCGGAGAGGUCAUCGGAAUUCCUUGUGUAGCGGUGAAAUGCGUAGAUAUAAGGAAGAACACCAGUGGCGAAGGCGGCCGCCUGGCCUGUUGCUGACGCUGAGGCACGAAAGCGUGGGGAGCAAAUAGGAUUAGAUACCCCGGUAA